GCUUUGGACCUUUGAGAGAGUUUAUGGUAAGUCAGUAAUUUUCUAACUGCACAAAAACUAAUGAAUCGGGAUGAACUUGUGAUGACACAGUGAGUCUGUUACUCAGGUUUUAUCCAGAAUGUAAAAAUCAAUUUUUUAUAACCUCACAGCCUCAGAGCAGACAAAGCUUCACGCUUUGCCCCCCCCCCCCGGAUCUCUGGCGGCCCCCUGGAGGCGGGGGGGCGCGGACCCCAUGUUGGGAACCACUGAGUUAGAAGAUGGUGAAAGUGCAGCUAAAGUUAAGUUACCGAAACUACGGAUAAGCAACGUUUCCUUUUACUUCCAGAAAAAUAAAAGCCUCAUAUUUGCUAUUUAUUAAGAAAAUCACUAAAAGCAACACUUCUACCAAGUUUGUUUUAGUUUGUUGGUAUUUAUCAGAGCAGUAGCACAUUUUCCACGGUUUUACUGUCCGUUGUCUUGUUUUAAUCAGUUUUCAGUUCAGUAAUUCAGUCCUUCGGCUGAUUGGACCAACAGACACUGAAGGACUCCGACAGCUGAGUGAAAGUAGCAGUUCCUCCUGAAGGUCAGAGAUUGCAGCAUCUGAGGGCCUCUUCAAAAGAAGACGUAGCUGAUGAAGGUAUUCUGGAGCAGGACCAGAAAGACCACGACCAAGCAGCCUUGAGAUCUUAGGCAGCGUCUCCCUCAGGUCCCUCUCUAUCUCCCCACACAUCCACCAACCACUGGAACACAUCUCCAAAGUUCUGCUGGACCAGCUCAGCUUCCCCUCAGAAGAAGUGCUGCCACCUGCCAGAUGAAGGAGCCUUUUGAGAGGCAGCUGGCAUCGUGAUUGGACUGUACUUUGGUCUGUUCCAAUCCAGCUUCAGCUCCAGAGACGGCAGGCGGGACGAGUCAACGGAGGCCGGGUGGACGAAGGCAUGCAGCUGAGUACAAUCCAGAAAACAACAGAGGAGGAGUGCAGCAGCCCAGAGCCAGAACAACCAGAGUAGCAUCGUAUGUCUCUUAGAAAACAUCAUAGUAUAGCCUUUGGUAUGAAAAAACACCAUCAUAUACAUCGUAUAUUGUACAAAUAACAAGUCAAAGGAAAGAGAGAUACACUGUAGAAUUGUAGUAAUUGUGGGCUGACUGAUUUACUGAUUAGCAGUAUUUUAUUUUUUACUGAUUUACGGUAAUAAAUACAUUUAAAAAUGG